GCAGCCUGAUGUGUCACAGCACAGCUUGGAGAUGAGAUGUGACACUGUCUUGGAGCUUGAGGUCUGUCUGUCCGGGCCCAGGAAGAUGGAUGGCUUUGCGGUGUUGUUUGAAAGCUGCACUGACCUCAGCAAGAAGGAGCCCUGAUUGCGGUGCCAGCACAACAGCAGACAGCAGGGGAGGAAAUCGAGGCGAGCACCCCUGGUGCACAUGUGGAUGGCUGAUGCUGCCAUUUCCUAUUUUUAUCCUGAUUCACCGCUCCUGGGAACGUAAGCCAAGUUUUCUUUUUCUUUCCAAAAAGAACAUUCGGCAGGGUAACAUUCGGCAUCACAAGCUGGCCUUGAGAUGGGGUUUGCUCCGGCUUCCCUGCUGAGCCGCUGCGCACAGCUUGUUUCUAAAACACGGCUCAGGCACUGCUAGUUGCCGUGCUGUCACAGGGGCUGAUCCAGCACAGAACCUGCUUGGCAUUCUUGCGGAGAAAUCACCCAGUGCCGCAACUCACAAUUUAUUAUUGAUUGCAUAUUAAUAUCCAAAAAAGGCAAUAAAAUCCACUCUGUGUUUUUACAGAAGGAAAAAAAAAAGUACUACAAGCUGAGCGGUGCAAAUCUGGAGAAGUCCUUGGCUGGCGCAGAGCUGUGCGCAGUGCUGCUUCUCCCUUAAUUACAAGCAGUUUAAAACCAUCUCCUUCCUUCAAAGGAGGAUUUUGUUCGGUGUUUGCCUUCGUUUUAAUCUCACGAACGUGAUGCUCUCUUGGAACGCGUCCCUCGCGCUGUAACAGCAAGACGUGCUGCUGCUUUUGUCCCUGCCACUUGGGAAAGGCGCAGCUCCUGCUGCUUGUCCCUGCGGCCAUGGGGCUGUUACUGUCAAUACACCACCCUUUAAAGGGAAAGAAAACAGAACAAAACCCAACAGCAGCCUUUUCCCCCCCCAAGAUUUCCUAUCUUUUUUUUUCUCUUGUGUUUAAGCCAGGCUGUGCAAGUGCUCCCUGAAAAUGGGUGAUUUAAAAUGUACUGCGCUGCAUUGUAGAGGAAAGCUCGUUAUUCAGCAUACUAAUUAUUUCUGACUCCCUGUAUUUAUGAAAUGCCGUGUAAUAACUAGCUCACCACAAUGCAAAUAGCACAAAAUCAGUGCCUUUUAUCAUUUUGGCACUUUAGUGCAUAAAC
rnacentral:lncRNA from 7 species